CAGCCCAGUCCGUUUGACACCUCCAGCUGUCUCAGUAUCUUCCACCAGUCUAUGUUCCGGAUGCUACACUUCCCCGCCGUGGACAGGAGUGUUUGACGGUAUUCUUGAGGUGCUAUACUAUUGGAACCCCGAAACCAACAUUUCCCAGUAUGAAAAACCUAAUUCCACCUGUCGUUAUUCCACUCAGCAAUCGCUUCAAGUUGACCCCUACCUUUCUCAGCCACAAACUCCUUUGGCCCAGCACCAAACACUAGCGAUUCAGUGCAAUCAGUUGCUCCAAUGGAAGGGAAGAUGCCGUUUGGGGUCUUUAUCCGAUUGUUUCUCUGCUAUUUUUUGUGAACCACACCUUGCCGGUGCCAUCGAACCCAAGUCCAAUCGCCCAUGGUUCGAGGCUAAGAGAUAUGGACGAUGAGAAUGUACUGGACUAUUUGGAUGUGUGUGGAUUUUAUUGAUAAGGGUUCUGUUUUGGUGCAUUGCUUUGCUGGUGUUUCGAGAAGGGUUUACACCCUUGUUUGCAUGUGUUUGUUGCAGUGCAGCUAUCAUUACAAUUUACAGCAUAUCUGAUGAGAACAGAACAUUUAUCACAAGAAGAAGCACUAGGAUCCCCGAGGCAAAGCUGUGAGUUUGUUUGCCCCAAUGAUGGUUUUCUAGAUCAGGUGAUGCAAGCUCAAAUUUACAAGGAAAUGGGCUUCAAGGUUGAUCGUGCCAGCCCCAUAUAUAAGUCUUUUCGCCUGAAAGUAUUGGGUAAUUGAGGACCUUGGUGGUGCUAUUACGUCUGAUGGAAGCACAAGCAAACAUGUUGUCAUGGGGAAAGUGAGAACAACUUUUAAUUUUUGUAC